rnacentral:rRNA from 1 species
CAAAGGUAGCAUAAUCAUUUGUCCACUAAUUAUGGACUAGUAUGAAAGGCAAAAUGAGGGUUUAACUGUCUCUUAUAGUAAGUCAAUUAAACUGAUCUACCAGUAAAAAAGCUGGAAUAAACACACAAGACCAGAAGACCCUAUGAAGCUUUAAUUAAACUAUUAACCCGUAUAAUACCUACUUUCGGUUGGGGCGACCUUGGAAAAAAAAGAACUUCCAGACUAGUGACAUAAAUCACCCAUAGGCCAACAAGCCAUAUAUGACCCAGUACACCUGACAAUUGAACCAAGUUACUCUAGGGAUAACAGCGCCAUCUUCUUCAAGAGCCCAUAUCAAAAAGAAGGUUUACGACCUCGAUGUUGGAU